rnacentral:SRP_RNA from 4 species
UAUUGAUUUCAGAGUAGAUCUGUGCUAUACUGUAAUGCACAAAAGGCAGAGCACUGCCCAUAGUUUAUAAUGUAGCGUAUGGGCCCUGUGCGACGGGAUGCUACGAACCUUGUCAGGCGGGGAACCGAGCAGCAAUAAGUGGAUGUUUCUGUGCGCCGCAGACCAGUCUGUACGUUACAUUAUACCCUAUGGCGGCUCUGCCUUUUUCAUUA